GCUGGGCGCAGUGGCGCAUGCCUAUAAUCCCAGUGGGUAGGAGGCUGAGGCAGGAGGAUUGUGAGUUCAAAGCCAGCCUCAGCAAAAGCGAGGUGCUAAGCAACUCAGUGAGACUCUGUCUCUA
rnacentral:sRNA from 1 species